UGUAGCGGUGCUCAGUGGGAGAGCACUGCCUUCACACGGCAGGGGUCGCAAGUUCGAACCUUGCCGCGCCCACCA
rnacentral:tRNA from 1 species